CUGUUAAUUAUUUUGGUUACCGCCAUAACGGUCAAACUCCUACGGGAGGCAGCAGUGGGGAAUAUUGGACAAUGGGCGAAAGCCUGAUCCAUCCAUGCCGCGAGGGGGAAGAAAAUCUUCGGAUUGUAAAGCACUUUAAGUUGGGAGGAAGGGCAUUAACCUAAUACGUUGAUGUUUUGACGUUACCGACAGAAUAAGCACCGGAUAAACUUUGUGCCAGCAAGGCGCGGUAGUACUGAGGGUGCAAGCGUUAAUUGGAAUUACUGGGCGUAAAGCGCGCGUAGGUGGUUUGUUAAGUAGGAUGUGAAAGCCCCGGGCUCAACUUGGGAACUGCAUCCAAACCUGGCAAGCUAGAGUAGGGCAGAGGGUGGUGGAAUUUCUUGUGUAGCGGUGAAAUGUGUAGAUAUAGGAAGGAACACCAGUGGAGAAGGAGACCACCUGGGCUCAUACUGACUUGAGGUGCGAAAGCGUGGGGAGCAAACAGGAAUAGAUACCUUGAUAGUCCACGCCGUAAACGAUGUCAACUAGCCGUUGGAAUCCUUGAGAUUUUAGUGGGGCAGCUAACGCAUUAAGUUGACCGCCUGGGGAGUACGGCCGCAAGGUUAAAACUCAAAUGAAUUGACGGGGGCCCGCACAAGCGGUGGAGCAUGUGGUUUAAUUUGAAGCAACGCGAAGAACCUUACCAGGCCUUGACAUCCAAUGAACUUUCCAGAGAUGGAUUGGUGCCUUCGGGAACAUUGAGACAGGUGCUGCAUGGCUGUAGUCAGCUAGUGUCGUGAGAUGAUGGGUUAAGUCCCGUAACGAGCGCAACCCUUGUCCUUAGUUACCAGCACGAUAUGGUGGGCACUCUAAGGUGGUUGGUGAGGACGAUCAGGAGCAAGAUGAGGGAGACGUCAUGCCAUCUUCUACGUAGGCCCCGGUUGCAAAUUGAAAAAGAAGAAAAGAAAUUAAAAAAAAG
rnacentral:rRNA from 1 species